GGGGCUGAACGGUUUCGACUUCGCGCAUCGAAUCAAGGGAAGCGUGCCGGUGCAGGCAAGAGACCACCGUAAGCGUCGUUGCGACCAAAUAAGCGCCGAUUCACAUCAGCGCGACUACGCUCUCGCUGCCUAAGCGACGGCUAGUCUGUCAGACCGGGAACGCCCUCGGCCCGGACCCUGGCAUCAGCUAGAGGGAUCCACCGAUGAGUCCGGUCGCGGGACUCCUCGGGACAACCACAGCGACUGGGAUCGUCAUCUCGGCUAGUUCGCGUGACCGGGAGAUCCAAGCAGAGGCAUAACGAACUGCGCACGGAGAAGCCUUGAGGGAAUGCCGUAGGACCCGGGUUCGAUUCCCGGCAGCUCCACCG
rnacentral:tmRNA from 1 species